GAAGUUUUUCUAGUACGUAAGCUUACCCCUUUAUUCCCAUAACAUCUGAUGCCCCGUUUUUUCUAUCUUUUAAUCUCUUCCAUAAUUCUCAGAUGUGGAGUGUGUUGCUUGAGUUUGCACCUAUCUUGGAACUAUCUGCAGGAUUUGGAUAUUCUGCUAAAGAUGGGAAGGGAAGACAAAAAGAAAGAGGGAAAAAAAAAAAAAAAAGAAAUUUCCCACAUGAUUAAGUGACUGGUCCCAGUAUAUAAAAGUGAAAUUCCCUCAGCUCAAUGUAGAAUAAGAUCAAGCUGGUCCAUUAUAGUAUCCUGUUUUUGAUCUUAAGCAACAUAAUUUGUUUGUGGCUACCCGGGGGAGAUUUGGACGCACCGAUUAUCAGCAGCAACGUGCGUAAAUGUGGUGUAGUGGCAAUCUCUUGCAUGUGAUCGGUAAAUUAAGGAACCUAAGCUUAAAUAUUUCACAUAAUUAAUAGCCCAAUACUAAAAUUUUAAAUUAUGCGACACAGAUGACAAGGGUACGUAUCUUCAUAAAAAAAUAGUGCAGAUGAUAACAGGGAUAUACCCAGUAAACGGGUUGUGGAAUUUAUUGCUUUAUCAUUUCUUCUAUACAAUAUAUAUAUAUAUGUCAAUAAGAAAUUAGCAUGCAUUGACAGUUUGUCGUUUUAGGAUCUGAUAAGUGGAAAAAUAAAGGUGACGAAAUCAUGAUAGACAGAAAUCUGCUGGUUCCAGGAAGCUACGUACUUUCUCUAACUGCUGCAGAGACCAGACAAUGGUUCAAUGUUCAGCAUGUGAUCAAACAUUGCAUUGGUAGAUCCAAGGACUUUACAUACAAACAUACAUACCUAAUAGUUCCCCACUCCACUUCUCUGUGACCCCCCACCUCAGGACCUUUCAUCUUCUCGUAAAAAGAAAAAAAGAAAAGACUCGAAAAACGUGCAAAAAGAAAAAUAACACACUUACGAAGAAAAGGGUUUUUGCUGAUUGUGAUGUGAGGUUGUAAGGUGGUGUAGAUUGGGAGAUUUUGUAAAGUAAUAAAUUCUCCAAGACAAACCAGCUCAGGACGAUUUGGUGGAUUGCAAGAGAUGGGGAAAAAACUUGAGCCUGAUUUGCAUAAGCUGUACGGUGAGGGGCUAUAAGUAAUGCAUAAUUCCAGAGUGGGGUUGCA
rnacentral:lncRNA from 1 species